rnacentral:lncRNA from 1 species
CGGGUGUAACACCACCAAGUUCUGGUGCACCUACCCAGCCUGUCCCUGCUCCAGCAUAUGGGGCCUCUGGUGCGCAAAACAUGCCACAUAUGUACCCUCCACCACCUUAUGGUUAUGCCCCAUAUUAUCCAUCUGUCACACCAGUCCAGCCACCUCCACCACCACCACCACCAGCUAGUGUUGAUCCUUCACAAAGCAUUGCAACUGCACCUUGGGCCACUCACAACGCACCUCCUCCACCGCCACCUCCUGCUAGUGUUGAUUCCUCACAGAGCAUUGCAACGGCA